rnacentral:rRNA from 1 species
GAGAAANUCNUAACCAGGUUUCCGUAGGUGAACUGCGGAAGGAUCAUUAU